rnacentral:rRNA from 1 species
AUUGAACGCUGGCGGCAGGCCUAACACGUGCAAGUCGAGCGGAGCGGCGGACGGGUGAGUAAUGCCUAGGAAUCUGCCUGGUAGUGGGGGAUAACGUCCGGAAACGGGCGCUAAUACCGCAUACUAUCAGAUGAGCCUAGGUCGGAUUAGCUAGUUGGUGGGGUAAAGGCCUACCAAGGCGACGAUCCGUAACUGGUCGGAGAGGAUGAUCAGUCACACUGGAACUGAGACACGGUCCAUGCGCCUAAGGGAGGCAGCAGUGGGGAAUGUGGGACAAGGGGCGAGAGCCUGAUCCAGCCGUGCCGCGUGUGUGAAGAAGGUCGUCGGAUUGUAAAGCCCUUUAAGUUGGGAGGCGUUACCAACAGAAUAAGCACCGGCUAACUUAGUGCCAGCAGCCGCGGUAAUAC